rnacentral:rRNA from 1 species
GUGGACAUAACAUAAAAGUGGAGGCUAUUGUAACUGAAGAGAACUGGAAAGUUCCACCGUAGAAGGUAAUAGUCCUGUAAGUGAAACGAGAAGACCACGAGUUAUGAUCCAGAGUACCACGAGACACGUGAAACCUUGUGGGAAGCAGGGAGGACACCUCCCAAGGCUAAAUACUACCUGAUGACCGAUAGUGAAGCAGUACCGUGAGGGAAAGGUGAAAAGAACCCCGGGAGGGGAGUGAAAUAGAACCUGAAACCGUGUGCCUACAACCGCUCAGAGCCCCUUAUGAGGGUGAUGAGGUGCUUUUUGUAGAACGAGCCAACGAGUUACGGUAUGUAGCAAGGUUAAGUACUUAAGGUACGGAGCCGAAGGGAAACCGAGUCUGAAUAGGGCGACUAGUUGCAUGCCGUAGACCCGAAACCGGGUGACCUAUCCAUGGCCAGGGUUGAAGCGAGGGUAAAACCUCGUGGAGGACCGAACCACGUUGCUGUUGAAAAAGCAUGGGAUGAGCUGUGGAUAGCGGAGAAAUUCCAAUCGAACCCGGAGAUAGCUGGGUUCUCUCCGAAUAGCUUUAGGGCUAGCGUCGAGUAUGAGUAGUGGAGGUAGAGCACUGAAUGGGCUAGGGGGCAUAGCGCUUACCGAACCUUAUCAAACUCCGAAUGCCACAUACUUUGAGCUCGGCAGUCAGACUACGAAUGAUAAGAUCCGUGGUCAAAAGGGAAACAGCCCAGAUCGUCAGCUAAAGGUCCCAAAGUGUAAGUUAAGUGGGAAAGGAUGUGAGAUUUCUAAGACAACUAGGAUGUUGGCUUAGAAGCAGCCAUUCAUUAAAAGAGUGCGUAAUAGCUCACUAGUCGAGAGAUCUUGCGCCGAAAAUGUAACGGGGCUAAACUUACCACCGAAGCUACGGGCUUGAACUUAGUUCAAGCGGUAGGAGAGCGUCGUAACCGGGCUGAAGUCGUACCGUAAGGAGCGGUGGACUGGUUACGAGUGAGAAUGUUGGCAUCAGUAGCGAGAUGUGGGUGAGAAUCCCACAGGCCGAAAACCUAAGGUUUCCUCAGGAAGGUUCGUCCGCUGAGGGUUAGUCCGGGACCUAAGCCGAGGCCGAAAGGCGUAGGUGAUGGACAACUGGUUGAUAUUCCAGUACCACUACCAUCGUUAUUAUCGAUGGCGUGACGCAGGAGGAUAGUGUGUGCUAGCUAUUGGAUGCUAGUCUAAGCGUUUAGGCAGUGAGAGUAGGCAAAUCCGCUCUCAUAAUGCUGAGGCGUGAUGGGGAAGGUUCCACGGAACCGAAGUACAUGAUUCCACGCUGCCAAGAAAAGCGUCUAGAGAGAGAAGUAGUGCCCGUACCGCAAACCGACACAGGUAGGUGAGGAGAGAAUCCUAAGGCCGGCGGAAGAAUUACAGUUAAGGAACUCGGCAAAUUGACCCCGUAAGUUCGCGAGAAGGGGUGCCUACGAGAGUAGGCCGCAGAGAAUAGGCCCAAGCAACUGUUUAGCAAAAAACACAGGUCUCUGCUAAAGCGUAAGCUGAUGUAUAGGGGCUGACGCCUGCCCGGUGCUGGAAGGUUAAGGGGAACACUUAGCGCAAGCGAAGGUGUGAACUUAAGCCCCAGUAAACGGCGGCCGUAACUAUAACGGUCCUAAGGUAGCGAAAUUCCUUGUCAGGUAAGUUCUGACCCGCACGAAUGGCGUAAUGACUUGGGCACUGUCUCAACUGUAAAUCCGGCGAAGUUGUAGUGCGAGUGAAGAUGCUCGCUACCCGCGAUUGGACGGAAAGACCCCGUAGAGCUUUACUGUAGCUUAGCAUUGAGUUUUGGUAUUGUCUGUACAGGAUAGGUGGGAGACUAGGAAACCAGGGCGUCAGCCUUGGUGGAGUCAACCUUGGGAUACCACCCUGACAGUACUGAAAUUCUAACUGGCGGCCAUGAAUCUGGUCACAGGACAUUGUUAGGUGGGCAGUUUGACUGGGGCGGUCGCCUCCUAAAAAGUAACGGAGGCGCCCAAAGGUUCCCUCAGAACGGUCGGAAAUCGUUCGAAGAGUGCAAAGGCAGAAGGGAGCCUGACUGCGACACCCACAAGUGGAGCAGGGACGAAAGUCGGGCUUAGUGAUCCGGUGGUACCUCGUGGGAGGGCCAUCGCUCAACGGAUAAAAGCUACCUCGGGGAUAACAGGCUGAUCUCCCCCAAGAGUCCACAUCGACGGGGAGGUUUGGCACCUCGAUGUCGGCUCGUCGCAUCCUGGGGCUGAAGUAGGUCCCAAGGGUUGGGCUGUUCGCCCAUUAAAGCGGCACGCGAGCUGGGUUCAGAACGUCGUGAGACAGUUCGGUCCCUAUCCGUCGCGGGCGUAGGAAAUUUGAGAGGAGCUGUCCUUAGUACGAGAGGACCGGGAUGGACUGACCUCUGGUGUACCAGUUGUUUCGCCAGGAGCACAGCUGGGUAGCUAAGUCGGGAAUGGAUAAACGCUGAAAGCAUCUAAGCGUGAAGCCAACCUCAAGAUGAGAUUUCCCAUAGCGUAAGCUAGUAAGAUCCCUUGAAGAACACAAGGUUGAUAGGUCGGGGGUGUAAGCAUGGUAACAUGUUCAGCUGACCGAUACUAAUAGAUCGAGGGCUUGACCAA